UGUACUUGGCGCUGCAGACAUCAUUGGAGAGACAUCUUCCCUGCCCACAAGGAUCUUCCAGUCUAAACAGACAAACAACUGCCAUUGUGAACAAAGGCCUCCAGACAUGAGCAAUUCAAGUUAUGAAAAGAUGCCGACAACUUUAAAAAUCAUCCCUAAAGACUGUGCCACUGAUUUUGGCAAGGACAAAUUUCACAUUGACGGCAAUGUACUGUUCUGUACUGUAUCCAGCAAGGCUGUCGAUUACGUUUAAAGACAGACAAUCGUAGAAUACAUGAAAAGCGCUAAAUGCUGAUUCUGAUGGCUGAUAUGAACUCCAAUGUGCAGAACAGCAUCUAUCAGAGUCAGGAUCUCCUUUGUAGUUCGGAGAGGAGAUUUUGCCUUAUGGGAGGUUGAGUACAGCUAGAAGGAUUGUCUAGAAGGUCUGGGUGAGUUGUUCUUUAUCCUAGGGCACAAGUAGAUGAAUAAAGGGCCUCAGUACUGUAUUUAAGAGAGAUACACUGUUUCAAAUGUUAUAAAGGAUUAUGGGACUUUUUUUUUGUGGCUAACAGUGUAUUUUGAGGCCCUGUCCUAAGCUGCAAAUACAAUAAUGGCCAGGGAUUUGUCUAGAACUCAGUUGCCCUCUAACCUGAUCACAGACAUGAUUCUUAUUUGUAGUGUAGACUGCACCUUAACUGUGUUUCGUAAAAAGGCUGAAGCUUUGAACUGACAUGACUUGAAAUUAGUACAAUAACUGACUUGCCCUAGAAGUAGCUUUCCAGGCAUCCUGUGAUUAGGCAGCGUUGGAAUUUUCUCCUGUGUUUAUAUGUGCUUUAUAUUUACACACAUUUCACCCUUUCCUUUCCGUUUGAUGCUACUCACUUCUACAACAGAAGCCAAGUGGCCUUCUCUAGAGCUGUGGAAUCUCAUUUCUGAUUCCUGUGUAUGUGUUUGGAUGGGGCUCAUUUUCCCAAAAUCAGAUAGACUACUUCCUUAAUAUGCUCACUUUGGGAUAAGUUUGGGAAACAACAUUCAGAGUUCUCUCCCAAACUAGACAUUUCUGCAUGGUUGGAGAAUUUAGAUAUUAAUAAUGAAAUUCCAAAUCUCGAUUGCUAUAAAUUGUAUUACAGUUGGUCCAGAACUACAUCUAUAGCUCAGCAAAGCACUUCAGCAUGCAUGUGACGUUAAGUAUGUGAAUAGUCCCGUUGGAGUCACAGGGACUACUCAUAUGCUUAAAGUUACACAUAUAUUUAAGUGCUUCACUGCAUCGGCGUAUAUGAUCCAGGUGAGAAGAGCCUCACUAAGAGACUUUCCUUCUGCCUCUAAGGAGAACACUGAUGGCAGGGCUGUUCUGCAGAUGAUCCUAGAGCACCCUGCACACCCUUUUUCUCAGUAUGUCAGUUCUGCCAUGCAACUGUGAGCAAGUUAAUUUAUUGAAGGCUGUAAUUAUUUGGGAUGAAGAUGAAAUUGCUCAGAGAGUGGAUUUCUGCUGACAGCAAUCUUAGCCCUUCAUUGCCAAGUCAGCAUAAAUUCUUUGUUUGGAUAAAUGUCAAUAAAUAUGCUAGAACAGUAUGAUUUCACUGAAGUAUUUACAUACUGUGCUUUAGCUCCAACAUUAAGUAUGCUACGGCAAAUGGCCACUCAAGUAACUAUGCAAUGUUCCAUUAUAAUCCCAAUUUCCAAUAUCUUCACUGAGGAUAGCUAUUUUAAAGCACAUUUUACUGUUCACAUUAGAAGAGGAACAAAGUAGUUAGAGGGUUACAAUCUAAGCUGAUUUAUUAGGAGGAAAUGUAUUUAAUGUAGUUAGUUUUCUAAUUCUCCUUGAAGGUUGCCUGCUAACGUUUCCAGUGUUUAAUGCCCACGUACCACAGGAGGGAGCCAAUUCUUCAAUAUGCAAAUAUUUUAUGUUACUUGUAAAUAAAAUAAAAGAACCUGAGAAGCACAAAUGAGAAAUAUUCAGAGCUGGGGUUUUAAUUCUAGCCCUUCACUAAUAAAGAUGUUUUAAAGGAAUUUGGUUUGAUAGUUUAUGAGCUUGGUUCUCUGAGUAAUGAAUAAAUGAAACCCAGUCUCUAGUAUCUGUUGCCUGGUGUAUGUUCAUUUGUUGAUCACCAAUACUGUAGCAGACCAGUACAAGAGCCUAUCGUCUACUAAGCAAAUGUCAUAAACACUCCCAAUGGUAUACAUUAGAACCAUUAUUAGAGAUGUUUUGGUGUCAAUCUCCCAAUACUCCAUGGUUCAGCCCCUAUUUACGUUGUUUCUAUUUCCAUCUUCAGCAACUGUGAAAGACCAGUGCUCCAGGAGUCUCCAAGUACCAAAAUAAAGUACCCUGAGGACUUUAUUAAGA